GCAUGUGGCAUAGUGGAUUUAGUGUUGGACUAUGACUCUGGAGACCAAGGUUCAAUUCCCAGCUAGGCC